AAUAGAUACCCUGGUAGUCCUGGCCCUAAACGAUGAGUGCUCGGUGUGGCGGGUAUCGAUCCCUGCCGUGCCGAAGCUAACGCAUUAAGCACUCCGCCUGGGGAGUACGGUCGCAAGGCUGAAACUCGAAAGGAAUUGACGGGGGCCCGCACAAGCGGUGGAGCAUGUGGUUUAAUUCGACGCAACGCGAAGAACCUUACCCAGGCUCGAAAUGCAGACGAUCGCCGGUGAAAGCCGGUUCCCGCAAGGGCGUCUGUAUAGGUGCUGCAUGGCUGUCGUCAGCUCGUGUCGUGAGAUGUUGGGUUAAGUCCCGCAACGAGCGCAACCCUUGUCUUCUGUUGCCAUCAGGUCACGCUGGGCACUCUGGAGAAACUGCCGGUGACAAACCGGAGGAAGGUGGGGAUGACGUCAAGUCAGCAUGGCCUUUAUGUCUGGGGCUACACACGUGCUACAAUGGCCGGUACAAACCGCUGCAAACUCGCGAGGGUGAGCUAAUCGGAGAAAGCCGGUCUCAGUUCGGAUUGU
rnacentral:rRNA from 1 species